GUGCUCGCUUUGGCACCACAUAUACUAAAAUUGGAAUGAUACACAGAAGAUUAGCAUGGCCCCUGCACAAGGAUGACAUGCAAAUUCAUGAAGCAUUCCAUAUUUUU
rnacentral:snRNA from 1 species